rnacentral:rRNA from 2 species
CGGAUCUUCAUUAGCUUGCUUUUGAAGAUCAGCGGCGGACGGGUGAGUAACACGUGGGCAACCUGCCUGUAAGACUGGGAUAACUUCGGGAAACCGGAGCUAAUACCGGAUAAUCCUUUCCCUCACAUGAGGGAAAGCUGAAAGACGGUUUCGGCUGUCACUUACAGAUGGGCCCGCGGCGCAUUAGCUAGUUGGUGAGGUAACGGCUCACCAAGGCAACGAUGCGUAGCCGACCUGAGAGGGUGAUCGGCCACACUGGGACUGAGACACGGCCCAGACUCCUACGGGAGGCAGCAGUAGGGAAUCUUCCGCAAUGGACGAAAGUCUGACGGAGCAACGCCGCGUGAACGAUGAAGGCUUUCGGGUCGUAAAGUUCUGUUGUCAGGGAAGAACAAGUACCGGAGUAACUGCCGGUACCUUGACGGUACCUGACCAGAAAGCCACGGCUAACUACGUGCCAGCAGCCGCGGUAAUACGUAUGUGGCAAGCG